rnacentral:RNase_P_RNA from 2 species
GCCGGCGAUGACAGCUGCUGCGCCCGUCUCGAACUCUCGUAACUUGCAGAGGGGAGGGUCUGAGAUGCCGCGGAUUGACCGAAAGGUCACACGUCUAAGACGUGAGUCGUCAACCAGAAACUCAUCGUUUGCCCGAACCAGGGAGCACCCUGUGGAGGUGUUCAACACGGGACACGGUGGUAUCAUGAUCACUGAUCAUGUACUUGGUGACCCGCUGCGGUGCACUUCCAUGGCUCGAGUGCCUCUACCAUCUGGAGCGAACGAUCUGAAAGAGGCUGACUGGCACGCGGGCGUCAGUUCUGCUGACGUGGACAGGGUUUAGUUCAAUCCCUGAGACGUCUGCCGCGUUGCGGCAGACGAACCCAGUUCAGACUACUACUGGC